rnacentral:misc_RNA from 1 species
CAUCAAGUGUUUCUCCAGGAGAGUCACGCUUCUCUAGCUUUGAUGGGAUCAAUUUGUUGGAGUCUCUGAUUCCUCCUGAGAAUGUUAGCCCUGAAGUCUCUCUCGGGGUUACAAAGUCACUUGGAAAGGGUAAAUAUUCAGUAAUUUGUUUAUAUGCGAAGCAGUUUCGUGAUCUGCGGAGUCGGUGCUGCCCAUCAGAGGUAGAUUAUAUUGCUUCUCUUAGUCGUUGUAGGAGCUGGGAUGCUAAAGGUGGAAAGAGCAAAUCCUUUUUUGCUAAAACACUUGAUGAGAGGUUCAUAAUAAAGGAAAUCAAGAAGACAGAAUUUGAGUCAUUUGUUAAGUUUGCUUCUCAUUAUUUCAAGUACCUGAAUGAGUCAUUUGAGUUGGGGAACCAAACUUGUCUAGCUAAAGUUCUUGGGAUUUAUCAGGUGAUCAUCAGACAGACAAAAAGUGGAAAAGAGAUGAGGCAUGAUCUGAUGGUUAU